GGAUACCUCAUACACAAUGUCAAGCACAAUAUCUAAUCCUCAAUAUCAUUACAUGACUGAAACUGUACUUUUACAUAACAUUAAUACAUCUAUCAUGUCCACACUAACUAUUACAUACACGUGACUUCAUUACUCUUGUAAACCUCCUGGUCUACCCUGUACCUGCAACCCUGGGGAAAUUGGGAGAGGGGUGAGCUACUAGAGCCCAGUGAGCAGAAUAAUAAAACACUUAAAACAUAUGAAAACAUGAAAUGCAUCACAUCACAGCUAAUCACAUCAAGGAUGAACUUGUCACCAUUAGCCCUCUAUAUGGUCCAACUGUGCCAGAACGUAGAAUGGGUCCUGGUCUUUCCCUUACAUGUCAUAACAUAACAGUGUCCAACUGUGCCAGAACGUAGAAUGGGUCCUGGUCUUUCCCUUACAUAGUGCCAGCGAACGUAGAAUGGGUCCCACUGGUCUUACUUUCCGUACCGUACAUAUCAUAUCGUCAUAUCAUAGAUCGAGGGCUAUGGAUCAUUCAACAAUCAUCCACAUCAACAUCAAAAUGUGCAAUGCAACAUAUUCGUGAAUUCUAAUGCAAGCAACCUAAUUCAUCACAUGGCAUUCAUGAUGCAUGAACAAUGCUCAAAACUUUGAAAUUUAUUUACUUUAAACGUAAAGGUUUAUUCCACUCACCUCUGGAUAGCUCUGACCAGACACUGGGGCAACAGACUCACUGCGGGGGUCCUCGGUUCCUCGGGUCCGAACCU
rnacentral:lncRNA from 1 species